GAAACAAAGAAGAAUAACUAUCUACCUCUCUCUCUUUCUAUCUCUAUCUUUCUAUCUCUAUCUCUCUAUCUCUAUCUCUCUCUCUUCUCCGUAGGAACAAGAAGCUGAAGUUUCAUAAAAAAAAAACCAUGAAUUUCUACUAAAUCAACACACAAAAUUCGUUUUUGGUGAAGAUCAAGUUGCUCCUCUUGGUAUAUAAACCCUUGAAAAAAAUCAAAGGGGAAGUGUUUGAGGAAGUGGACAGAUUUGGUUUGUUUACGGCGUAGACGAUUCGAACGUCCCCAAGUUGUGAUUGAACUGUUUUAUGGUAAAACACCAAGAAAAUGUUCGGGAUGAAAUCUGAAGAUGGCCAGGGUGAAGUAGUCUCUUUGGGAGAAUUUAUGGAGAUCACAUUUGCAUAUGCACCUUGGUUUGCAUAGUUUUGGGACAUGUACAUGAUAUACAUGAUAUACAUGAUAUACAUAUAUAUAUAUAUAUAUAUAUAUAUCACACUUAUGUUAUUUGGAGGCUUGUUGGAUUUUAAAGACCAAAAUAUUGUAGCUU